UAAGUUCCGACCCGCACGAAAGGCGUAACGAUUUGGGCACUGUCUCAACGAGAGACUCGGUGAAAUCAUAGUACCUGUGAAGAUGCAGGUUACCCGCGACAGGACGGAAAGACCCCGUGGAGCUUUACUGUAGCCUGAUAUUGAAAUUCGGCACAGCUUGUACAGGAUAGGUAGGAGCCUUUGAAACGUGAGCGCUAGCUUACGUGGAGGCGCUGGUGGGAUACUACCCUAGCUGUGUUGGCUUUCUAACCCGCACCACUUAUCGUGGUGGGAGACAGUGUCAGGCGGGCAGUUUGACUGGGGCGGUCGCCUCCUAAAAGGUAACGGAGGCGCUCAAAGGUUCCCUCAGAAUGGUUGGAAAUCAUUCAUAGAGUGUAAAGGCAUAAGGGAGCUUGACUGCGAGACCUACAAGUCGAGCAGGGUCGAAAGACGGACUUAGUGAUCCGGUGGUUCCGCAUGGAAGGGCCA
rnacentral:rRNA from 1 species